GAUGAACGCUAGCGACAGGCUUAACACAUGCAAGUCGAGGGGCAGCACGGGAGUAGCAAUACAACUGGUGGCGACCGGCGCACGGGUGAGUAACGCGUAUGCAACCUACCUAUCAGAGGGGAAUAACCCGGCGAAAGUCGGACUAAUACCGCAUAAAACAGGGGCACCGCAUGGGGAUAUCUGUUAAAGAAAUUCGCUGAUAGAUGGGCAUGCGUUCCAUUAGGUAGUUGGUGAGGUAACGGCUCACCAAGCCGACGAUGGAUAGGGGAACUGAGAGGUUGGUCCCCCACACUGGUACUGAGACACGGACCAGACUCCUACGGGAGGCAGCAGUGAGGAAUAUUGGUCAAUGGGCGAGAGCCUGAACCAGCCAAGUCGCGUGAAGGAAGAAGGAUCUAUGGUUCGUAACCUUCUUUUGCAGGGGAAUAAAGUGCAGGACGUGUCCUGUUUUGUAUGUACCCUGAGAAUAAGGAUCGGCUAACUCCGUGCCAGCCGCCGCAGUAAGAC
rnacentral:rRNA from 1 species